GCGGAAGUGGCGAAAUUGGUAGACGCACUGGAUUUAGGUUCCAGCGCCGCAAGGUGUAAGAGUUCGAGUCUCUUCUUCCGCA
rnacentral:tRNA from 1 species